GACGAACGCUGGCGGCGUGCUUAACACAUGCAAGUCGAACGAUGACGCCCGAGCUUGCUCGGUCUGAUUAGUGGCGAACGGGUGAGUAACACGUGAGCAACCUGCCCUUCACUCUGGGAUAACCUCGGGAAAUCGGGGCUAAUACCGGAUAUGAGCUCCUGUCGCAUGGCGGGGGUUGGAAAGUUUUUCGGUGAAGGAUGGGCUCGCGGCCUAUCAGUUUGUUGGUGAGGUAGUGGCUCACCAAGGCGACGACGGGUAGCCGGCCUGAGAGGGCGACCGGCCACACUGGGACUGAGGCACGGCCCAGACUCCUACGGGAGGCAACAGUGGGGAAUAUUGCACAAUGGGCGAAAGCCUGAUGCAGCGACGCCGCGUGAGGGAUGACGGCCUUCGGGGUGUAAACCUCUUUCAGCAGGGAAGAAGCGAAAGUGACGGUACCUGCAGAAGAAGCGCCGGCUAACUACGUG
rnacentral:rRNA from 1 species